GACGAACGCUGGCGGCGUGCUUAACACAUGCAAGUCGAACGGAAAGGCCCUGCUUUUGUUGGGUGCUCGAGUGGCGAACGGGUGAGUAAAACGUGAGUAACCUGCCCUUGACUUUGGGAUAACUUCAGGAGACUGGGGCUAAUACCGGAUAGGAGCUCCUGCUGCGUGGUGGGGGUUGGAAAGAUUCGGCGGUUGGGGAUGGUCUCGCGGCUUAUCAGCUUGUUGGUGGGGUAGGGGUUUACCAAGGCUUUGACGGGUAGCCGGCCUGAGAGGGUGACCGGCCACAUUGCUACUAAGAUACGCACCAGACUGGUACGGUACGCAACAGUGGGGAAUAUUGCACAACAGGGGGGAGUCAGUGGUGACAACCUCGCGUGCGGGAUGCCGGCCUUCGGGUUGUAAACCGAUUUCUCCGGUGACGAAGCGGGCUUGACGGUAAUGGGUAAAGAAGCAACGGCUAACUACGUG
rnacentral:rRNA from 1 species